GCGGGGGCGAGAGGGGGGCGUGCAGAGAGUGCUCUGGUAGGAGCAAUGAGCUCCGCAGCCUCUAGGUUCGGGAGAGCAGCUCGGAUUUCCCAGAAGAUGGAGAGAACCGCGGCCGGGACCUCUGUCACCCUCUCGGGAGAAAGUUUCUUACUGCCAACCGGAGGAACAUACAGACAACGAGAACCAUCGGAGGAAGCUUUGGCCUUGAGCUGAUCUUGGCAGGCUGCUUGUCUGUGUCUGCUAGGCAGUCCUUCUGUCCCCUGGAAUUAGGCAUCGCCUCUUCCAACAGUUUCUUCUGGAAGAUUUCUCCUCACCCACUGCACCUGGAGUUGCUGACUGACUAAUAUAAUCGAAUGCCUCUGCAGAAGGUAUUUUACUUACAUGCCCUUUGCUGCAACAAGAUUCCUGACAAGAACAACUUAAGGAAGCAUUUGUUUUUGCUCACAGUUCCAGGGAACAGUCAGUCAUGGCAGGGAACACGAGGCAGCUGAUUGCAUUGCAUCUGCACUCAGGAGGCAGAGAGAGGUGAAUGCUGGUCUCAGCUCCCUGUCUCCUUUUUAACUGGUCCAGCAGUUAGGGUAGGAAUUCCACCUCGAUAAAUGUAAUGUAGAAAGCCAUCAUAGAUAUGUUCAGAGAUUUGUCUCCAGAGCUAUUCUACAUCCUGACAAGUUACCAUCACAUAAACCAUCAUAAGUAGCAAGAUAACACGUGCCCCAUCCCAAAGAUAGCCACACCCUCAUCCCUGAAGGUUAUUCAUGAAGACUGCAUGUUGUAAUAUCUAUUAACCAUGUGAUCUUAAAGUGGGACAUGGGUAUCAGAAGCAGAGCACUCUCAAAAUCCUUUUAAAUGGAAGAGGGACACGGAGGAGGAGAACCAGAGGGAGAUGUGAGAAAUGGACUGGGGUCUUAGCCCAAUGUGUGCAGUCUCAGACUUCUGACCUCCACAGUCUUAUCACCCAUUUGCAUGGCUUUACCUUAACACUGCAGCAAUAGGAGACUUACACAUGAGCUCAUCCACUGCUCCUGGAGAAGCUGGGGUGCUGUUGCCCAGCUGUGCCUCUUGCCACCCUCAGUGGAUGCUGGGAAGGUUCCCUGCUCUGCCUUUAUACCGACUCAACUUUCUCCUCCUUUAUAUGACUCUCAAGAAGCCCCCCCAUACAUGCACCCCCUCCUCAAAGCGGUUCAGGCACUGGGGAUCCUGACAUUUGCAAUUAGUUCAUUGUAUUUUCAAAGUUUGGCAGAGGACCAUUGUUCAAUAGAGUCUUUCUUUUUCCUUCUCUUUUUGGUAGCAUAGUCUUACCACUCAUCUGACAUCAGGGAAGAUUGAAUACCAAGCUAGGAAAGUAAAUCUAACUUCUUUGUUCCCUUGGAAUGGGAGGGAGCUUGAAGCUGGAAGCCCCCCUCCCCCAUGGAUACUGACUUGUGCAUUUUAUAGGGCCUCUGGGUCCUCCUUUUCCCACAGUGGUCCUGUUUAUAUUCUUCCCUAUGCCUUUGUACUGCCCAGGCUCCUGCCUUGUCUUGGUUGGGGAAGACGAAAAGCCUCUAUUGUUAAUGAGGAUGGAGAUGAAGUAAGCUUGUUUAUAUAAGUCUCACUUGUUUUCGCAUUACUUCUAUGAAAAAUAAAUAUUAAAAACAACACCUUAAUACAAGGGGAGGAGCUUAGUCCUACAGCAACUUGGUAUGUCAUGUUGACACCCAUAGAAGGCCUGGUCCCUUCUGAAAAGAAACAGAGGAGGAGUAGAUGGCUCCGGAGGGAGGGGAAACUGCAGUCGGGUGUAAAAUAAAUAAAUACAUUUAAUUCAUAAUUAAAACCACAGUGUGGUUGAUAAAGAUCUGGGCUAGAUGUGUAGAUAAAUCAUGUGGCUCACAGUUCAAGUUCCAUUUUCUGUGCUUACUUGUGUGAUCUUGACUAUUAACUCAGUUGCCAACCCCUGCCCCCUCUCUCUUUCUCCCUGGGUUGGUCUCCAGCUCUCCAUGUACCUGAGGAUAAUCUUGAACUUCUAACUCUCUGCUUCCUUCGCCCAAGUAUGGGAUUAUAGGCAUGCAUCACCAUUCUCAGCUUAUGUGGUGCUAAGAAUGAAACCCAGGGCUUCCUACAUGCUAGCCUGGCACUCUGCAGACAGCAACAAACUUUCUACAUGGUGAUUUGACCAUCAUGCGCCAACGACUACCUCAAUGUUCAUUUUAGUGUUUCAAAGAGAAAUCUUCGCACAUAUACACGUGUGCAUACACAUAUAAACACACAUCCUCACAUACAUCAACAUGCACACACAUACACACAUACCCUCACAUGCAUCAACACACACACACAAACACACACACACACACACACACAAAACAAACAAAGUGGUUGUCUAGCACAGAGAUGGUGUCUUCAGCCUCCUUCUUCUUGAACUCAAACACAACAACAUCGAUAUGAACUUGCCCUUCCCUUUGGACUAAAAGCAUUUUCCUGCUGUUGCUGGGUGAAGGAAAAACACAGCUGAAUCUCUGUUGUCUCUGGUGACAUUUGCCAAACACAUGGCACUAGCCAUGAUAAUCCUGUCUGCAGUUGAAGAGUCACAGAUAAUGAGCACUCUAGAAAGUGGUUCCAUCCUGACAGUGUUCCCCAAAGUAGAUCACUUGAAUCCAUGUCUCAAUUAACUGCACCUCUGAGCCUGGGAGUUUGCACACCCUGCUUUCUAAUCCCAAUAUUGCUGACAUUUAUAUGGCUAAGAAGUUCAGGGCAGAAUGAAAAAAAGUAAAGAUUCCCCAUUGAGACACAUUAAAAAUUGUUGUUCUGGGUCACUAUCACUCUUGCUGGUACAGAAACUAUGUGGGUAUAAAAAAUAUAUCUCAAAACCAUAAUUAUAUCUUUGGGGAAAAACUCUAAAUGUGUUUCAUACAUAUGUAUUGAAAAUGAGUUUAAGAAGUUUUGUUGGUGUAUAUAUUACUUUUGGUUUAUUUAAGUAUAUUUUACAGUGUAUUAAAAUCCAGUAGAAAAUUAUUAGCUGUAAAUGUGUAAAAAACCCAGCAAAAUAUACAUAUGUAUGUAUAAUAAGCUGAAAGAAUUAUGUUCCCAACAGUGAUUAAUGUUCCAAAGCCAACUUAUACUAAUCAUAAACUUAAAUCUAAUAUAUUAAAGAAUUAACCUUACUUUCCCUCUGAGAA